AUACGAAGGGGGCUAGCGUUGUUCGGAAUUACUGGGCGUAAAGCGCGCGUAGGCGGACUGAUCAGUUGGGGGUGAAAUCCCAGGGCUUAACCCUGGAACUGCCACCAAUACUGUCAGUCUUGAGUUCGGGAGAGGUGAGUGGAAUUCCUAGUGUAGAGGUGAAAUUCGUAGAUAUUAGGAAGAACACCAGUGGCGAAGGCGGCUCACUGGCCCGAUACUGACGCUGAGGCGCGAAAGCGUGGGGAGCAAACAGGAUUAGAAACCCUAGUAGUCC
rnacentral:rRNA from 1 species